UACGUAGGGCGCGAGCGUUGUCCGGAAUUAUUGGGCGUAAAGAGCUCGUAGGCGGCUUGUCACGUCGGGUGUGAAAGACCGGGGCUUAACUCCGGUUCUGCAUUCGAUACGGGCUAGCUAGAGUGUGGUAUGGGAGAUCGGAAUUCCUGGUGUAGCGGUGAAAUGCGCAGAUAUCAGGAGGAACACCGGUGGCGAAGGCGGAUCUCUGGGCCAUUACUGACGCUGAGGAGCGAAAGCGUGGGGAGCGAACAGG
rnacentral:rRNA from 1 species